UCUCCCCACCCCCCCACCCCACCCCCCCUUCCAGCUAAGGAAGAGGCGACAGAAGCAUCAUCCCAUCUUGGAAGGCUGGAGUCCCGGUAGCCAUCGAUGCGGGAACUGAGGAGCAUGACUUUGCUUAUUUCUGAGGGUUGGCAUGCAGAACGGCAGCAGCUAAACAGGACCUUGCUGUGCAAGUUUUCAGGGACGCCUCUGCUGCUCCCGGUGUUCAUGUAAGGAAUGUUUUAUUGAACACUAACUUGGGGCCUGAGACAGUUCUCACCACUGAGAACACAGCAGUGAAAAAACGGACAGAAAUCCUUGGCUUCCUGGGGUUUUCUUCUAUGGAGACAGUUGUCAAGAAAAACAGACUCGAUGAAAUGGUGAUAGUGGCAUUGAGUAAAAUGAAGCAUGAAAGGAGGAAUGGGCGGCUGUAUUAAAUCGCGUGGUCAGAGGAAUUCGCACCAGGACAGUUGAGCCACCAGCAGAAUGAGAGAGGGAGUUGACCAUGCUGAUAUUAGGGACGAUCAAGAUCUCUCCAGGUAUUGCUUUAUUGGCACCAACAUUAUUUCCCCAUGUGUUCUACUCCCUCAAAAACAAACAGAAGCCAUCCUGCGUAGUAGUGGAAUGAACAGACCCGGCUUUAGUAUCAGGCUCUGCCUGACUAGCUGGGUGACAUCAAGCAAGUCACCUAUAAAAUGGGGAUACCUCCACCUACUCUACAGGUUUUAUACAUCACUAGUGGCAACUCCAUAACCAGAAGAUGAGGUCUUAUUGUCUUUAAAAGGGCGAGGGGAAAUUAGUGUUGAUGAUUUUUCCCAAAGUGCCAGUCACCUUCCAUCUUUGCCUCCCUCACAUCUUUGACUCCUCUACAGGACUCACUCAAACACCACACUUUUCCCUUUCCCUUCCUCCCAUCCUUCCUCCCUUCUCUCUAUAAACGCCAUGCUUUCUUCUUUUUCUUUUCUCUCCUUCCAUUCUGCUGGACCAUCCUAUUCCAAGAUGGGAUGCAUUCCUAACAGCCACAGUCCCAAGCUCCAAGUUUCUCACUUAGGUUUACCACCCUAGAAACUUUCUAAUGGAAAAUCGGGGGGAAAACAGAGGGCUCUCCAAUAAAUUUAAGUUGAAGCAUAUUCGUGGAGAGAAGCAUAUUCAGACUUUUAGCAACUAUAAAGUUUACUCUCCUCUGUACAGAUUGUAGUUUUAGACCGUGAGUCAAGUAGGAAUGGUACUAAAGCAAACUGAAAUAUGCAUAAAUCCAUAAUCCCUUGCCAUAAUUAUGACACAAUAUUCUAAUCGUGUACCAAGUAGUAUAAUAAAUGAUCUCACCCAGCCAAAUGUUCCAACUUGUAAAACUAAGGGACAACUAUAACGAAUGGAACAGUUUGUUCUUUGCCCGUCGGUGGUUGGACACCAUCCACAGUGAGGAAAUUCAUGAACAGCUCAGCCAGUGGAAUCAAGCUGAUAUGCAAAGUGUGCAACCUCAAAGACUGGGAGAGGUGAACCUGCCUAUUCCAGUACCUUUAGAUGGAACUUAAAUCAUUCAAGAGACUCAUUAAACACCUCCAGAAUUUCUUUUAACAGUACCUAAUAAUCCUUAUCUUGAUAUGUAAACUCUAUUCUUUUAAGCAUUUGUUCAUCAUUUGUGAAUAGUCACAGCGCCAAGCCUAAUGCAGUGAUGUCUACAAUUCAGAAUUUAACCUGCACCCAACACAAAUGAAGUACAUAGGGGAUUGGGAUAAUACAUAAACUUUUAAGACACAAUUUGCUUUUUCAGAAGUCGUUUCAAAUUUCACCUUCCAGCUUUGGGAAAUAGAUGUAAUUGGCCAUAUUUUUUAUUUACUUUUUGACAAGGACUGGUCUAAGUUACACAUUAACUACCUUCAUUUAACUAGAUUAGGUACAGAUAUCUUUCAAAUAAGCAAAAUGAGACACAGGAAGGCUAAGUAAUUUGCCCAAGGUCACACAUAAACACAGUAAUUGCUGGAGGGCAAAGCAAGACCACUUGCAGGAAAGAGCAAGCAGGCUCUUUGGCAGUAACUAAAGAUGUUUUGGGAACACCCUUCCACAGUGUGUGCGUGCACCGCCGCACCUCCCCCCCGCCCCCCCUUACAUAGUUGUGUGGGUGUUCUUUUUCUAACUCCAAAGUGGCAUUAAUUUGAACACAGUGUUUUCCAAAAACUACACGAUGCUUGGACAUUUUAUUCAUGAAAACUAGUCCCUUUAGGUCACAUUGGUUCUCAACCUGUGGGUCGCGACCCCUUUGGCAGUCAAACGACCCUCUCACAGGGAUCACCUAAGACCAUCCUGCAUAUCAGAUAUUUACAUUAUGAUUCAUAACAGUAGCAACAUUACAGUUAUGAGGUAGCAACGAAAAUAAUUUUAUGGUUGGGUCACAACAUGAGGAACUGUAUUUAAAGGGCCAGAAGGUUGAGAACCACUGCUUUAGGAGAAAUGUUAACAAUAUGAAACACAGGAGGGAUGAGAUCACCUUCCAUCUAAUUUAUUUGUGCUUUCAUACAAGAAGAGUUAUAUGGUGAAUGUAAGCAGAACCAUGAGCUGCCAGGAGAUUGAGUUUGAAUUUUUAUUUCUAUGGCUGAGCCUUUAAAAUGUCCAGUUGAGAUACUUCCAAUCCCAAUGCUGAAAAAGGACAAGUGUGUUUAUGUUAGGGAACUCCCCCACCCGCUCCCCAGCCAACUGAAUCUAAGAUCCCUGGAACCAUGACUAAAGAAUUCUUCUGCCCUGAUCCUUUAUACAUGCAUGCCCCCCAUUCAGGUCAUUAUAGAAACCUCAGAUAUUUAUAUGAAAACAUUUCACAUUAUUGUAAGUACUUAAAAUGCACUCAAAAUUAAAAAGGACAGAGCAACUCCACCUUAUCUAACCCAUUAAUUCAUUAAGAAAAUCAAGCUAGAGUGGCUGGGAGUAUAGAACCUCAUAAUCAAAGAUACCUAGUUUAGUCACUUGAUAGAAUGUGACAAUGGACCAGUGAAUCCGUCAGAUCAUUACUUUAAUGUAAAAUGAGAAAUGGUUGCAAGUCGAUAGAACUGUUGUAAGAAAUUAAAUAUUCUGUGUAUGUAUGCGUGUAUAUAGAAUGUAACUUUUACUAUAAAUACUAAGAGUUAAAUUUAUUUCAAAAAAUACAAAGCAUAUGUGACAAAACUAACACCUUUUAUUUCUGGGUGGUGGGUACAGGUAUGUUUAUAGUUUUCAAUAUUUCUUUAAAUUUUUCAAAAUAAAUAAAAAUGUUGAUGUCAUCUAGUUUUAAUACAAAACACACAUGUAAGAAAAUCUUAUGCAGUGAACCUUUAUCAAAUAGACCACAUGCUUUCACAACAAGACCUUGAACAAAUAUAUGCAGACAUAAGAAUCACAGGUCAGAGAUGGAAGAGACCUCAGAAAUCAAAUCUAAACCUCUUGCUUUCCAGGCUAGGAAACCGCUUGAGUGGCUUUUCAAAGUUAUAGCCAGCUAGUUAAUGUCAAUCCCAUCAGAAACGCCCUGAUCCUGGCUCCUGAAGUGGUCUGUAGUAAGUACCACAUUUGCAAAAUGAUUUUGUUUUUGUAUUUCAAAGUCCAAUUUUAUGGCACAAUUUUACAACGCAGACUUAUGCUAUUUGAUUUUCUGUAUUCAGCUGAAUUGGUUUUGUGAGAACACUGGCAAGCUUGCCUUCAUAAACUAAUUACAUUGACUUCCAAGCACAAAGUUAAAAUCUUAGCACACGUAAAAAUCAGUUAAGUGGCUCAAGAGAGACCUUACCAUUUGAUGUGAGCCCAACAGGUAUGAAAAGCAUAGACUAUUAUCUUUACUCAUAUAUGUAAAACACAUGGGAAAUUAAGAAUUUCCUCAAUUUGAAGAAAUGAAUCAGUGUUAUAAUGGAAACAUUACUUUAAAGUUUAUCUUUGGGCUCUGGCAGGCGAGUCGGUUAGAGCGUUGUCCCAAUAUGUGAAGGUUGUGGGUUUGACCCAGGUCAGGGCACAAACAAGAAGCAACCAAUGAAUGCAUGAAUGGAUGGAGCAACGAGUUGAUGUGUCUCUCUCUCUAAAAAUCAAUAAUAAACAAAAGUUUAUCUUUGGAAAAUGAUUCAGACUGGUAUAUAAAAAAUGACAUACUUGUAGAUGAAAAAGGGGCUCUGUAAUAAACCUGAAAAGUCCAAGGCUGAUCAUAAAUUCCUGUGCUGAUUAUGGUGGGUAGUCACACCCCAGGCAUAUAACUUCUUCAGUAAAAGGUUUAUCUUUGCCUUACGUAAGCCCUGUCCAUUGUUCUUGUGCUUCUAGGUUAACACACCUUUAAAAUACCAGGGUCUUCCUCUUUUUCAGACUCCUCUGAGGCAUAACCACCUUCCAGAGAGCACAUCAUUUUUCUUGUAAUACAAUCCCUACCUUGCGUUCUCCGACCCUCAUGUAAUCUUCCUUAUUUCCAAAUAUACAAAAGAAACUGCAAAACUGGAAUUCUUGGAGCAUUUGGGAUCUUGCUUCCUGACAUGUUGUCAAAACACUUGGCUCAAAUAAGCUCCUUUAAAAAUCGCAUAUAUGCAUAGCCCAUAGACAUGGACAGUAAUUUGGUAAAGGCCAAGGAAGGGAGAGGCCGGGGAGAGUGGCGGUGGGCAAAGGGUGGGGAGGGGGAAUCCUGCAAUAGUGUCAUUAAAAAUUUUUAAAUCUCUACAGGUACGUUGACAUACUUAAAUGUUUGAAUUGCAGACUAAUGAUUAAUUUACAGAUUCUUCAAAAUAUUUCCACAAAAACAGAGUUCUAAAUUGGGGGGAUAAUCACAAUCAACUUGGCUAGUGACAUGCCCAGUAUUAUCAGCUAGUUUUACUUUACUAAUAAAAAAAUCUGAAUGAAAAGAAAGUGCUGAGAUUUAAGGGCAGACGAAUCGGCUUCCUUAUUAACAGAUUGGGAAACAAGCAACCAGCAUAACACCCAAAAGAGUUUAAAACAGUAACAGAUAUAAUUGCUGAGUGUAGUUUUGCAAAGCUUAAAAUUAACAGCACUAAUGACAUCAAACAGGUAUAUUAUAGAAAGAAAACACCUGGUUUAAUACCUUAUAAAAUAUGUACAGAACUUGAACAUUCCUUUAAGAUACAUUUCAAGUCACAGCUGAAUUAUAAAUGUAAUCAGGUACUCUAAAAUAAUGAAAGCGCCUAGUUGGUUAAAGAAAAAAAAAAAGCAUGUAAACCAUAAA